AGUAGUGGCAGUCUAAGAGCACAGCCAUUCACUAAGCAUGUUUUAGGAUACUUUGGGUCAGUCUGGCAAUCUGAAAAACCCUAGAGAAAGAGGACUGUGGUUGUACUUUAAAAAAAUAAUAAUAGAUGCCCCAUGUUGCUACUGGAAGCAAUAAAGGAAGAGAAAACCAUAAGUAAAGCAUAUUUUUAAGUGAUGCAAGUACGGAAAGAAAAUCCCUGGAAUAUGAGACGGUUACAGAAUGGAUAAAUGAACACUGCAUUCAAUCUGCAUAUUUAGAGCUCUGUCAGAUAAAGAUGAAAUCAGG